rnacentral:lncRNA from 1 species
UCUACAUUAUACUGCUUUCCCAAAGCCAUUUAUACGUCUUGCGGUUCUGAUCAGUGGGGUUAUUUUUCCUUGUUGGUUUGUGUUUGUAUUUUUUCACUGUGGCUGCUCUGCUCUCUGACUGGCUCACUUGUGAACAAAUCCCAGGAUACACUAAGUGUGGUGGGCAGGCUAUUCACUCUACUGAGAAGAAAAUGCGGACAUGCAGCUUCCAUCUGGAGAGUGGUGGAAAUUGUGAACUUGCUGACAAGUUUCAGACUGUUAUUCAUUCAGGAUUAUGAAUACCUCGUCUGAAAUUCCAAAGGUCCCAAUCCGGCAGAGUCAAUGGGGUUACAUUUGUGCUUCAGUCUGAGCACAUGCUGAAAUGCUUUGCUGGGUCCUGGUUUUACACUGAAAGUAUUUGCUCUUUGUGUAGCAGGUAACUGAAAAGAUCUCACAUGAGGUAAGAGCAGUAGAAUUGGGCCCAUGAUCACAUAUCCCCUUUUAUAGGAAUGUAAACGUUGCUUCAUUUUAAGGUAUAUUAUAUACUGUUA